CGUUGGAUUGUUCACCCACUAA
rnacentral:misc_RNA from 1 species